AGAUACUGCAAAUGAAAAUAAAACUUGUUAGGUUUUAAGCAUUUAGACAUAUUCUAAUCAGACAAUCUGGGUUAACAUUCCUAUAGAGUAUGCUUGUGCUUUACAAAGAUACCAAUAUCUGCUGCUUAAAGGAACAGCCUUUCUGCCCCUCAGAUGAUAGCUGUUCCCAUCUGUCAGGGUUUCUGUCUCUACCCUGCCUUAUCUUUGCAUCUGUAUCUCCCAGCAUUUCAAACAUGCAUGCUUGGUCCUGUUUCAAAAUCCCUGAGUCCAUGCCCACUGCAGCAGUCUUUACCAACAACCUAAAUAACACUAUCUGGAGCUUUAACAUCUUCAUCCCAGACUUGCUCCUGUGGUCAUAUGUACCAAGUGCAUUGUCAGCCCAAAGUUGUCUUCAUGACCAUCUGGACCCAGAAAUCCUGGGUGUGAGCUCCCUUCUGCCUUCUGCUGAGCCAUACAUUGACUCAACCACAGUGUGCAUAUUCCACAUAUUCUGGUCCUACCAAAUACCUAGCCCAGAAACCCUCCUAGCUUUUAAGGGUUUUUUGCUUGUUCCUUUAUCGUAGACCCUCUGAACAUGUGGAAACAGAAAAAUACACCUACAAUCUUACAGGUGGGGGCAAUUUUUAGGUUCUUUGAUGCCAAUAAGGUUAAGAAUCCCUAAUGUAUGAAAAUUUCAGUGUCUAUAUCCCAUUUUCAUGCCUGCACUUCACACCCUCAAUAAGAUACAUUAAUACUCACACAUAUGAUUUAAUGAAAUGUUUCAUAAAAUGGUACCUGUUGUUACUACUAAUAGUACAUUCUGAUAAUUCUUAUUCUAUUCUCUAACAUGUCAUUUGAAAAGUACUGGUUGUGACCUACUUGAACUUGGCCUUUUGGCAGUGGUCAUUCAUCUCUGCUUAUCUAUUUAGAACUCCCAGUGUCAGCUUUCUCCAGAAUUAUGACUGAGUCAGUUCUUAUAACCCAUUACUAUGAUAAACCUUAGGUUGAGCCAGUUACUGCUGCCAUUGCUAAGUGCCCCAGGAGCAUUAGAAAUAAGCCUAGGGAACAGUGGUAUUCCCAAAAGUUCUGUUCUUUUAAGGUUCUUAAGUUGCUACUGAAAUGAUUGAUAAGGGGGAAAAAAGAUCAACGAGUACAUCAGUUUCCUCACUCUUCAAUAUUAUUGGCUAUUCCCCUGUUCAGUGUUUUCAAAUUUAGAGUCAUCUCCCAUUAGUGAUUUAUAAAAUAAAUCCACAACCAGCACUUUUUAAAUGAUAUGAUAUGCCGGGCGCAGUGGCGCACACCUGUAACCCCACAGGCUUUGGAGACUGAAGCAGGAGGAUCUUGAGUUCAAAGACAGCCUCAGUAACAGCAAGUCACUAGGCAACUCAGUGAGACCCUGUCUCUAGUCAAAAUAUAAAAUUAGGCUGGGGACGUGGCUCAAUGGUUGAGUGCCCCUAAGUUCAAUCCCCAGUAACAACAACAACAACAAAAUUAAAUGACAUGAUAGAGAAUAAAAUAAGAGUUAUUAGAGUGUAUUUUAAGUAGUAACAGCAGGUACUAUUUAUGAAAAAUUUCAUUAAAUCAUAUGUGUGUUAAUGUAUCUUGUAUCAGGCUGAAGUAUAAAAUAUUAUAUCCUACAUGGAUCAUGGUUCAGAAAAGUUUAAAGGUCACUGCCUUUGUACCAUGUAUCCAUAUAGAAAGCCUGAAGAAACCCCACAUAUUUAGAGCAUUCAAGGUUAAUACUGCCUAACAGGCCUCUAAUGUGUUGCUGUACUCCCAAAGAUCAGACUGCUUUGUAACUGUACAGUCUCAGAAAACAGCCUAGUGAUGGCUUCAUCAGUGGGUCCACUCUUUCUAGAAGAUGAGCUGGCAGGUAAUACCUUGUAGAAACUAAUACAAAGAAACAAUAAAAGUUGUAUACAAGCACAUAUUUAUAUAGUAAAAAAUAAAAAUUAAUAAAUGCCCAACAUUUAUAAGGAAUUGAUUAAACAAAUUAUAGGUACAUGUACACAGAGGAAUUUUAUGGAGCAAUGUAUUUUUAACCCACUGGAAAAUAUUCAUAAUAUAACCAUUAACAAUAAAAACUAAUUUUAAACCUAUAUGCAGAAUAAUCUCAAUUUUAUGAUACAUUUAUAUGUGUAGAAAGACAGAUUUGGGGUGAUAGAAAACAUCUAAAACUGGAUUGUAGUGAUGAUGGCACAAUUCUGUGAAUUCACUAAGAAUUACUGAAUUGUUCUUUAAAAACAAGUAAUUGGGCUGGGGUCGUGGAUCAGUGGUAGAGUGCUCGCCUAGCACGCACGAGGCACUGGGUUCGAUCCUCAGCACCACAUAAAUGUAAAAUAAAGAUAUGUGUCCACCUAAAACUAAAAAGUAAUUAUUUAAAAAAAUAAAAAAUAAAAACAAGUAAUUUACACGUAUGAAAAAGCUGAUAAAAGUGAUGCAGUAAGACUGAAAGAAAAUGUAGAGUGGUUAUCUCCAGGUAGUGAAAUUAUGGAUGAUUUUUUUUGUUCUUCUUUAAACUUUACUAUAUUUAACAGUUUCAUUUUUAUGAAAUCUAAAGUGUACUAUUAUAAUCAAAAAAUAACAAUGUGUUUCUUUAAAACUAAAAAAAGUCCUUGUAACAAAAUACAGAUCACUUCUUUUCUCACCUAUUUUUGUUAAGGAAAGCAUCCCCUCUGGUAACAGUGGUGUCUCCAGUUAGCAUCUUGAAAGUGGAUGAUUUCCCAGCACCAUUAACUCCCAGAAGUCCAAAGCACUGAAAGAAUAAGACCAGGUUGUUAAGGUGAAGAAGCUGAUGAGCAAAAUUGCAAAUUAUAUACGAUGGCAGCCUAUUGUUGCACUAAAAUACAGGAGUUGGGGGCAGAAGUGAUAAAAGCAUUUAGUGAGGAGACUGAGGCCUGGAGAAGUCAUUUGCUGGCAGACACAAAACUGGCAAGAAAUAUAACUGGGAUGGAAAUACAGAUAAUCUAGCUCCAAUAUCUAUAUCUUGACUGCAGCAGCAUUCUGCUUUCACUGGUCAGAGAGUGUGUAGCCCACCCAUGAAGCCAGAAACCAGCAUAUUUCACCUGAGCGAAGAAUCCUUUUCUACUCCGUCUGGCGAUCAGCAGCCUCUUCCACAAAAGAGCCACAAACUGUUGCUGCGUGAGUUUCCAGCCCUUCACCUGAUAGGAGCCUUUACCAUCCAUCCCGCUGAGCAGGUCUGUCUCCCUGGAUUCUGCAAGAAGCCAAUACUGAAGGUCACCUAUUAUGUUAGGUGUUUUUGACAUGAUGUAUUCCUUCUUCUAAGAUCUUCAGAAACCAUUUGGAGGCUUGUGUUUGAAAUUGAAAGUAUCUCACAGAGGUAAAGGGUUUUAAUGAUACCUCUAUAUUCAAGAAAAACUAAUGACUCAACAUGUCCAACAGGAGCAGUCUCUGCCUUUUAGUCCUCGUUUGGUGAGUACAAAGAAUGAAGGUGCCUUGAGACUACUGCAGAGAUGUUCACAUAUUCUUACCUAGGUGUUACCGAACAUCAUUCAGAUGAGUGGAGACAUUGCUGAUUUCUUACAGAUUAUUCUAUGGAACAGGCCAUGUAUGCAGAUGAACACACUUGAGAACACACAAUGGCAGUCUCUAAUCUUUUAUAUUUUUGUUAAAAAAAUGGACACAUUUGAAAUGAUCUAAGUACUAACAAUGCAUGAAGUCAGGGAGAACAUAAGAGCCACAUGCUCAUGUGCCAUGGACUGGGACAGUGAGAAAAUUCUCUGUUCAUAAAAAUUAUGUAGAAAUUCUUGUCUGAAAUGAAUGAUUCCUAACAGAGACACUCUGACAUCAAAUUUGUUUGAUUUCUUACCUCUCCUUUUCAUUUCAAACACACAAGGACACAGUCAUCCAAAAUACCUACAUCUAAGGGCACAUUAACUGAAAGCAAAUUACCCUCCCUGACUUUCUCAAAAUCAUUCAUCCAUUCAAUAAAUACUUAUUCAACAAUAAAACACUUAAUGUAUGCAAGAAACUUGAACCCUACAGAAAAGACAAUAAAAGAGCAGUCCUUUUUUAAUAUGUGCAUCUUAAGAUCUCAGCUAACUGAAGGAACGAUGAGGAUGGGCUCUUUCAUGUUUGACCUAAACACAUGCACAAAGCUGGAAAAAGACAAGCGGCUUUUCUCAUUUUUCCACUUCCUUCUGGACCCUCCAGGGAAUCUAUCAUCUUGUUCAUCAAAAGAAAACAGCUGAGAAGAACAUAAAGGAGAAAUUCUUCUUCAAACAAUAGAACCUAGAUCUUGCCCAAACGAACCUGGGUCUAUAUCAGAAU